rnacentral:rRNA from 1 species
UACGUAGGGUGCGAGCGUUGUCCGGAAUUACUGGGCGUAAAGAGCUCGUAGGUGGUUUGUCGCGUUGUUCGUGAAAACCGGGGGCUUAACCCUCGGCGUGCGGGCGAUACGGGCAGACUUGAGUACUGCAGGGGAGACUGGAAUUCCUGGUGUAGCGGUGGAAUGCGCAGAUAUCAGGAGGAACACCGGUGGCGAAGGCGGGUCGCUGGGCCGAUACUGACGCUGAGGAGCGAAAGCGAGGGGAGCGAACAGG